CGAGCGGGACGACCCGAUCGCUGACCGCCGUGAUGAGGACGACCUCG
rnacentral:ncRNA from 1 species